UAGAAAACUAAGACGAGGAUACAUGAGACCUGAUUAUGAUGAUGUUGAAUAUGAAACAGGUUACGAUUACGGUCGUCCUUAUUACCGAGGUUACCGAUACAGACACCGUGAUGACGACAGCG